GUGCUUGCUCUGGCAGCACAUAUACUAAAAUCGGAAAGAUACAGAGAAGAUUAGCAUGGCCCCUGCGUAAGGACGACAUGCACAUUUGUGAAGCAUUCCAUAUUUUU